UGCCACAAGGAGUACAGAAGAUUUCUAGAAGUCGUAGCCCGAGAAGGUAGUCUGUUGUUCUUCAUUUGGUUUCUUUGCAAACAUCUGAAUUAUCCACCUAUCCUAUCCAACUUGAACCACACAAUCUUUUGUAAAAUUUUGAAAUUGUUGUGCCUUUGGGUUCUCAUUGCCUUGGAUUCUCUAAAGGCUUCAUGAAAAAUCAAUUCUUAAGAACCAAAAGAAACAUGGUGCUUGAUCAACGGAGAUGUUUUUGGUUUAAUCCAGUAAUGGUAUGUGUGGGGCCAAAUUUUGGUAACUGGAGCUUUUGGUUUGGUGCACACAUCACGGCAUGAAUCUUUCUCUCCUGUCAAACGAUCUUCGCUACCUGAUGAAUGUGCAAUUACAACUGAUGGUUAAUAAGUAAUGGGGCCCGAUCUGAUGUUUACAUUUAUUUGAUUGUAGUCAUGUGCUUUUUGUGUGGGAUCACCCAUAAGCCAUGUGGCCCAUCAUAUGGGUCAUUUUAUCAUCCAAAGGCAAGCCUCAUAUGUUCAGUUCAUUUGCUCAGACCAAAUGUUUUUUGUUGUUGUUGUUGUUGAUGGAACACUAACGUUUUUUCUAUGCCCCAAAUAACACCUGCGUCCUUUGGUUUUCUGUAGUUUUUACUCCUUUUUGGCUUUGUUGUGUAGGCCUGCAAGAGGAAGAAGCACCGGCAACAGCCACAGCAGUAGGUCACCUUCUCCAAGAGCCAAUUAGCACCUUGGUUCUUAGCAGGUAGGUAAGUAUGCCUCUCUCCCUCUCUCUCUCUCUCCUGGUUUCAUCACGUCUGUUGGGUGCAAUCUGGGAAGCGAAAGGCUGGAACAUGCAGAAAGUAACUUCAGAAGCUGGAAGUUGGUGCUGAUAUCAAAGACACUGUAGGUUGGUGGGUUUUGGUGUCCAGAGAGUUGUGUUGGGUCUUCAGUACUCAGCCAUUGAUUGAUCUCCCUCCAAUAGCUGAAGAGAAUAGAAGAAAUCAGAGCACACGAAGUGAAAGCAUACUGUUCCCAGCCUCAUCAUGAGAUCAGGAAGCAAGCUUGCUCUGAUCAGCGACGUAACUUUGCAUGCAGACACAAGAUGCCACACCAAGCUAAAUCUGAGCUAUGGGUGCUGUAAAGCCGAGAUCUUGUAAGGUAGCAAUGGAUGCUUUCAGUUUUCACCAGUAAUCUGUUUUCCCAGAAUCUGGCAGUUAUCAACAAUCUUUGUAUAAAAGGCUAAAAGAAAAGAAUGGCCGAUUGAGAAGCUGAGGAAGUUUGAGGUCCCCAAAGCUCCAAAAUAUAUUUUCCUAUCAUUCGUCUAAUGGGACAUGCACCAAUACACUCUGCCAACACUCUUAUGUAACCUGUCUUGCUGCAGCAGAAAAAAAAUGUAAUUUCUGUCUCAAAAUCUUCAAGCAAAUUUCAUUUAUUUUUUAUAUUA